rnacentral:rRNA from 1 species
GAUGAACGCUGGCGGCGUGCCUAAUACAUGCAAGUCGAGCGAACGGACGAGAAGCUUGCUUCUCUGAUGUUAGCGGCGGACGGGUGAGUAACACGUGGAUAACCUACCUAUAAGACUGGGAUAACUUCGGGAAACCGGAGCUAAUACCGGAUAAUAUUUUGAACCGCAUGGUUCAAAAGUGAAAGACGGUCUUGCUGUCACUUAUAGAUGGAUCCGCGCUGCAUUAGCUAGUUGGUAAGGUAACGGCUUACCAAGGCAACGAUGCAUAGCCGACCUGAGAGGGUGAGCGGCCACACUGGAACUGAGACACGGUCCAGACUCCGACGGGAGGCAGCAGUAGGGAAUGUUCCGCAAUGGGCGAAAGCCUGAAGGAGCAACGCCGCGUGAGUGAUGAAGGUCUUCGGAGCGUAAAACUCUGUUAUUAGGGAAGAACAGAUGUGUAAGUAACUGUGCACAGCUUGACGGUACCUAAUCAGAAAGCAACGGCUAACUACGUG